UACGUAGGGGGCAAGCGUUGUCCGGAAUCAUUGGGCGUAAAGAGCGUGUAGGCGGCCCGGUAAGUCCGCUGUGAAAGUCGGGGGCUCAACCCUCGAAUGCCGGUGGAUACUGUCGGGCUAGAGUGCGGGAGAGGCGAGUGGAAUUCCUGGUGUAGCGGUGAAAUGCGCAGAUAUCAGGAGGAACACCGAUUGCGAAGGCAGCUCGCUGGAACGUAACUGACGCUGAGACGCGAAAGCGUGGGGAGCAAACAGG
rnacentral:rRNA from 1 species